UAGGGAAUUUUCGUCAAUGGGCGCAAGCCUGAACGAGCGAUGCCGCGUGAGUGAAGAAGGCCUUCGGGUCGUAAAGCUCUGUUGCGGGGGAAAAAGGGACAGCAUCAGGAAAUGGGUGCUGACUGAUGGUGCCCCGCCAGAAAGUCACGGCUAACUACGUGCC
rnacentral:rRNA from 1 species